AAGGUGAGAACGUAUCUUUGAUUCUCUGUGUAGAUUAAGUAAUAGCCAACCGUUGAUAUUUCUGUAGAAAGGUAAUGUGGUAUGUAGAGGAGUCCACUGGAAUUGUUUCGCAAAGGCCGAUCCAAGGCUACAAUAAACUGAAAUGCCUUGGAACUUUGCAUUUCAGGCCAUCUUCUUCUCUGGAAAUGUUGCGGUCGAUCAGUUUUGGAGACUUUAGUAUAGCGGCGACUGGGUUUGCCCUUGAAGAUCUUUAUCUUUCUCCUCAGUUGCUUCACCAGCCAGCUUGGGAUGUCCGACGAGGCUAAUCAAGUGCCAUUGGUGGUUUUCUUUUCCUUCGUGCUUUCGGUUAGUGGUUUUGUUAGCUGGCUGCAUGAUUUCUUAAUGCUAGUGCUUUGCAGGUUUAGACUGAUUUUUGGGGCUGGGUUAUUGAUAUUGAUCUUUGUGUACUUGGUUAUGUAGUUUUUGUUGUAUAUAUCCUUUAUGACAGGUGUUUUUUUUAUUAUUU
rnacentral:misc_RNA from 1 species